rnacentral:rRNA from 1 species
UACGUAGGGGGCAAGCGUUGUCCGGAAUCAUUGGGCGUAAAGCGCGCGUAGGCGGCUCGAUCAGUCUGCUGUGAAAGUCAAAGGCUCAACCUUUGAAUGCCGGUGGAUACUGUCGAGCUAGAGUCCGGAAGAGGCGAGUGGAAUUCCUGGUGUAGCGGUGGAAUGCGCAGAUAUCAGGAGGAACACCAACGGCGAAGGCAGCUCGCUGGGACGGUACUGACGCUAAGGCGCGAAAGCUAGGGGAGC